CAUUAGCAUUAGCACACUGGACAACAACGUAACUGCAGGAGCAGGAUGGAAGAGGAGGAGGAGGAAGAGGAGGAGGAGGAGGAAGCUGAGCUGCACCUGCUGCAUCUCGGGAAAUGUAUUUCUCUGACGCUUCCCGUCACACCUGGAAACUGUGAGAGAAGUUUGACGUCUUGUCUGCGUCGUUUAAAAACCACCAUCACGUGACGGUUUAAUAUCAGUGAGAGAAGAAGGAGCUGGACUGAGACUACAUCCCUGAAUCUUCUCCAUCAACCACAACAACAACACACUGUGUUUCCUCAUCACCUCACCAUGGCCUCAAUCGGGAAAGAAAAUUACACCAUGAGAGCCUUGUCACAGGCUCGUUUUGAUGCUGUACAUACUGUACUUUGAUGCUGAAAGGGAAGCCACAGAGGAGGAAAACCAGAAGAUGAGGGAGGUCUCCCUCUGGAUCCCUUUUUUCCCACCUCCUCUCGUCCUUCCUCGUUACUGGAACCACAAGAGCGAUGAUGAAGCCAUGAUGCCUCAUUGAGACAUACCAGUCCCAGUCCCCGGGUGAAUUCCUCACUAUGACAACUCCUGACAUUUUAUCCUCAUCUCUCCCCCUUCUACUCUUUCUACUCAUUCCUCCAUCCCAGCCCCUUAUCCAUGCCCCACUUUACCUGCCAACAUGCAGGAAACUAUUUUAUGAAAGAUCUUUUCAUUAAUUGUAUAGAAAUUGGCUCCAUUCCUGAGUGAGGCCUGCUGGAUUAUUAAACUUUAUCUGAGGCAAGAGGCCUGAGAUUACACAAAGUUAUAAAACAUACAACAAAGUAAAUAGGUCUGUAGUCUUAACAAAUCUUAGAUUGGAAUAGUGAGCAAGGCUGAUUGGACCAAACAAAGUUAAACAGAACAUGCAUCCCUGCUGAUGUUUGAAUGGAUACAGAGCAGUGUUCAUCCAUUCAGCUCUGCUUUCAUUGGCUGACACAGUGGGACCUGAACUGAAUUGAAUGAAAAAACAAAGGCACAGGUGCUUUACUUGAACCAAUGCAUUUUUUUCCCUCCGUAUUUUAUGUCAGAAUAAAUCUCGUGCCCUUCAGCAAAGUCUGUGAAACGUCAAUCUGUUGAUUUAUUUUGUUUUAGUUUGGAUUAUAAAGCUGUUUUAUUUAAUUAACUGCAUUUGUGCAGUAAUUUAAUUUGCCUCUUUGGCUGUCCAA